CCCAAGAAGCAAUGUAAAGUUUGAAACGAGCCGAGCGCGGUGGCUCACGCCUGUAAUCCCAGCACUUUGGGAGGCCGAGGCUGGCGAAUCAUUUGAGUAGAGACGGGGUUUCACCGUGUUAGCCGGGAUCCAUCUCCUGACUUCGUGAUCCGCCCGCUUCGGCCUCCCAAAGUGCUGAGAUUACAGACGUGAGCCACCGCGCCCUGCCUAUAUUAGGUUUUUAAAUAGCAGGAGGCAAAGCUUUUCGGUGUGAUCCUGACUUCACUUGGGGAAAAAGGGCAGACACAGGGUCUCACUGUGUUGGCCAGGCUGGAGUGCGGCAGUCUGGAACUCCUGGGCCCAAGUGAUCCUCCAAUCAGCCUCACAAAGCACUGGAAUUACAGGUAGCUCAGAGAGCUGCGCUGGAGGAGAAAAGCCAGUCCUGGCAGGAGCUCUGGUACCUGGGAAGCUGGAUGGAGAGCCUGGGCCAGAAUCCCGGACCCCUCACCUCUGCGGCCUAGCUUUGUGACCUUGGCAAAUCCAUUCUAUGCACCUCCAUUUCCUGUACAGUGGGGAUCCUUAUUUCUCUGGCACAGAUUGGUAUUUGUUCUGUAAAGCCCAGUACCACUU
rnacentral:lncRNA from 1 species